UACCCGCAGCUCAAGUGGUGGCCACUAUUAUUGAGCCUAAAGCGUCCGUAGCCGGUCUUGUAAAUCUCUGGGUAAAUCCUGCCGCUUAACGGUGGGAAUGCUGGAGAGACUGCAAGACUGGGGAUCGGGUGAAGCGAGAGGUACUCCUGGGGUAGGGGUAAAAUCCUGUAAUCCUGGGGGGACGACCGGUGGCGAAAGCGUCUCGCUAGAACGACUCCGACGGUGAGGGACGAAGGCUAGGGGAGCAAACCGG
rnacentral:rRNA from 1 species